GGGAAACCGCUUUACUGAAGAGGCAAAGCAUCUUCAUCGCUCUAAAAGCAUUGCUUAAAUACACCUCCACGAAAAAGGGAUCUCAGCACACCUUAAAGAGGUCAUCUGAGCUCCUGCCUGCGUCUUGGAGAGUGAGGACCGAGGUCUGGGGGUGAAGCAACUCGUCAGCCUGCUGCGGAGCUGAGGUGUGUUUUCACCCUGUGUGCGCAUGGGAGAGCGUGAACGCCUCUUGGUCCUUCAUGUCUCAGGCUGGCCCCAAGCUCGG